ACGCAGCUGUGUUCUUUCAAGAUGGCAAACCAAGUUUGCUCAUGUCUUGAUACUUAACUGCUUGUAAACAAGUAAUUACCUGAAUGUAAGGAAAACAUUCUCCUUCAGUCGGUAGUUUGGCACUGAACCAUCGUUUGUUUACAUCAAGUCUUUAUAUUUGCCUAACACUUUUAUUUCAUUUAAACACAAAAUUAACAUCACCCUUCCAAAAUGCAGAAGAAUAACAAGUGGGAGGCAUUACUAGCUGUUGAUAACAGUCUAUGAAGGCAUUCCACAAGAUGAACUUGGAUGGACUGGAUGCCAUUUAGCGCUGCCUCCUGCCCACCCUGAGGACCAGUGCUGUUCUCCUGCAGGCAGUCCUGGUCUGCUGCCCUUGGCCAGUGAUACCAUUACUGCUGACAGACCCACUAAAGCUACUGCCAUGAUGCCGCAUCCUGGGAUGAAAGAUUUCCUAUCCAUCUGGAGCCUGCACUCCCAAUGAGCAUGCUGAUGAUGCUUGUUAUUGCUUAUCACCAUCUUAACAUUUCAAAUGGGACUCUCUUCUUUCAGUGACAUUUAUGCUUCCUUCUAAGGUGUUUCUGUGGCUUAGAGAUACCCAGGUGGGUCACACUGGUGCCCCAAGUAACCUGUGCCAAAACAAGACAAAAGCAUGAGGAGUGUAGUUGGUCUCAUGCCUAAAAAAGCAGCUCCCAAGGCCAAUUUUCCCUCCAUGGGCUGACAAGGGGCUGCUUCUCUGAACCAACUCUUCUUUUUGUAUUACACACACCGUUACUGCCUUGCUUUGCUCACACCUGUCACUUGCUCUGUCUUUUCUUACAUUUUCUCUGUUUUCACUAAUUGCGACUAAGUUGUCUUCAUUCACACAUUUCCCUUAUUUCUUAUGGACUACAGGUUUUUCUUUCUUAUGCUCUCCAGUCUCAUUCACUGAGCAUUCCUUUGUGUAGAUCCAGGGGCUUGCUCAUGACCAGUUUGUCAUGAAAAUACUGAACACCACUCUUUUAGUGGUAACAUUAUGUGUCAAUAGAG
rnacentral:lncRNA from 1 species